rnacentral:lncRNA from 1 species
CAAAAACAAACAUUCCAACAGCAUUUGGUCUGGCUUGUGGCUGGGAGUCUGGCUUAUUUGGGGGGAGUAACGAAGCUGAAGAUACACUAAGGAAUGCAGAGACACAUGCUGGAUGGAUGUACAGAACUUAUAGGAGUACAAUUUGUGUGAAGAGACAAGGCAUGGAGCAGCAAUAAUCUGUUGUCGAGCAGUCAGGAUCAUGGCAUGGCAUUUAUUUGGCAAGCUCUUGGGGUAAUGUAUAUCUACAUAAAUCUAUCACCUCAAAGCCUCUAUGGUACUUAUGGAAGUAAUUCUUAUAGUUAACAGAAGCUGCACUGCAGAGAGACUGAGAAUCUGUCUACCACUUUCCCGUGGUCUUUGUUCAAGCGAAAAGAUAAGAAGAGACCUUAACAGGUCUCACAGUAGAUCCUCGAUAAGUCGCAUCUAAAUGACUUAAAGGAGGCUCCUCUCCCAAGUACUUGCUCCCAACAAACUCCAUCAGUUAGUUAUCCUACCCUCUCUGCCAUGGAGUAUUCCAAACGGACACUGGCAGUGCGUAGCACACGCAAUGCAAAAAUCUUGUUGCAAGCUGUAACAAGUGGAAGCAGACUCCACUCCUGGCUGGAGCUGGAGCUGGAACUGUGCCUGUGGCUGGG